rnacentral:rRNA from 1 species
UACGAAGGGGCUAGCGUUGCUCGGAAUUACUGGGCGUAAAGCGCACGUAGGCGGCUUCUAAGUCGGAGGUGAAAUCCUGGAGCUCAACUCCAGAACUGCCUUCGAUACUGGAGCUGAGUCCGGGAGAGGUGAGUGGAACUGCGAGUGUAGAGGUGAAAUUCGUGAGAUAUUCGCAAGAACACCAGUGGCGAAGGCGGCUCACUGGCC